GAUGAACGCUGGCGGUAUGCUUAACACAUGCAAGUCGAACGGUCCUUUCGGGGAUAGUGGCGGACGGGUGAGUAACGCGUGAGAAUCUGCCUUUAGGACGGGGACAACAGUUGGAAACGGCUGCUAAAACCCGAUGUGCCCUUCGGGGUGAAAUAUUUAUAGCCUGAAGAUGAGCUCGCGUCUGAUUAGCUAGUAGGUGAGGUAAAGGCUCACCUAGGCGACGAUCAGUAACUGGUCUGAGAGGAUGACCAGUCACACUGGGACUGAGACACGGCCCAGACUCCUACGGGAGGCAGCAGUGGGGAAUUUUCCGCAAUGGGCGCAAGCCUGACGGAGCAAUACCGCGUGAGGGAGGAAGGCUCUUGGGUCGUAAACCUCUUUUAUCAGGGAAGAACACAAUGACGGUACCUGAUGAAUCAGCAUCGGCUAACUCUGUGCCAGCAGCCGCGGUAAUACAGAGGAUGCAAGCGUUAUCCGGAAUUAUUGGGCGUAAAGCGUCCGCAGGUGGUUUUGAAAGUUUGCUGUCAAAGCGCGAGGCUCAACUUCGUACCGGCGGUGAAAACUUCAAGACUAGAGCUAGGUAGGGGUCACGGGAAUUCCCAGUGUAGCGGUGAAAUGCGUAGAUAUUGGGAAGAACACCAGCGGCGAAAGCGCGUGACUGGGCCUGAGCUGACACUCAUGGACGAAAGCUAGGGGAGCGAAAGGGAUUAGAUACCCCUGUAGUCCUAGCCGUAAACGAUGACAACUAGGUGUUGCCCG
rnacentral:rRNA from 1 species